GGGACUGAUGAUGAUGGUAAGCAGAGAAGGGGCUUGUUCAGGCCACCGUCGUUGAUUUCUGCGAAGCUUUACCUUUACGAUGAAUAUUUGCUCCAACAAUGGCCUUAAUAAAAGGAAUAGAACUCAGUAAAGGUUGGGCAACAAAAGCGAAAGUGAACCAGAAAUGAGCAAAUGAAGAGAGACGUCAUGGACUCAUGGCUGCGAGCUUGCAAAGGACGAAAGGAAACGGAGCAAUGCAUUGGGCAAGCCACCGCCAACGGAUUCACGAGACAGAGAGGGAGGGCGGCCAAAUUGACAUUUUAUGCUGUCGGCGAAUUCGGUCGUUCUCUUUUAUCGGUUUUAGUAUCACUGUCCGUGUUAAAAUUCAAAACAAUGUUAUUUAUUGCAAAAUUUAAUUCAAUAAAAUAAAGCUGGCUUUGUGAAAAAUUCGGAUGUUUUCUCUCUACUGAGAGAGAGGGAGGCAUGGAUUACAGUCUAGCGGCGCUGAAGCUGCUAUGCGUGCAGCUAAAGAGCGCCCGCCAAACGCCGUCGCAAUCCGCCAUGACUCUCGCCGGCGUCCUCUUCCAACGUGCCUGCUUACAAGGAAUUUUGGUCUCAACAGCCUCCCAUGGACACGACGGCGACGGAUGUUUUCUCCUCGACGACGGCACCGGUAUCAUCGAGCUCUCUCUGUCCGGCGAAUUCCGGAACCACCGGUGGGACAUAGGAAUGUAUGUAAUGGUGGUCGGAGUGUUUGUCUUCCGCACUGGUAAAAUCCCCUUGAUUAAGAAGAUCAUGGGUUCGAGUUGUGGAAAUAAACUAAUUGCAAAGCAGUGUGAAGUGGGCAAGCAUUCGUAGUGACGAUAUGGUUUUUCCUUUGUGAAUGGAAGAUCAUGGGUUCGAGUUGUGGAAAUAAUUUAAUUGCAAAGCAAUGUGAAGGCAGUGUACACAAUCUACUCUCACUUAACCCUUGCAAAGCGGGAAAUCACUUGUUGGUAGGAUGCCUUUUUUUUAGUAUGUUGAUUUAUUUUUUUCCUUAAUUAUACUUAUUAUGUUGAAAUGUAUUUUUAAAUUUUUUAUUGUUAUUACUAUGUUGGUUUAGUGGGCAACAUUUGCAGCGAUAUGGCUGAUCCUUUGUGAACGGAAGGUUGCAGGUUUGAGUUGUGGAAAUAACCUAAUUGCAAAACAAUGUGAAGGUUGCGUACACAACCUACUCUCUCCCAACCCUCAUAAAGCAAGACACCAAUUCUUGCAAGGAUGUCUUUUUAUUAGUACGUUGAUUUAUUGGUGUUGAGACACAUGUUUUUUUUUUUAUUCUUAUUUGUAUGUUGGUUUUGUGGGAGAGCCUUGGUAGGAAUGUAUUAGUCCAUUGAUUUUCCUCUUCCUUGCCUUUUGUUUUGGCUUCUCUUCUGUUCCCACAUGUUGUUUGUAAGAAUUUUAUUACUAUUAGGUUUUCAUUAUUAUUUCAAUGUUUUGGCAUUCUUAAUUUAUAAAUUUUGCAUACACUAACCUUAUUAUUUGUAUUUGAGAAACAUUGGUUGACAUUACCCUUUCCUUUUUCUUAUCAUCUCUGAUAGAAGAAGUGGUUUGUCAAUUGAGGUAAUUUCCUUCUCUUCAUUAGUAGCUUCCUCGGUUUUCAUCGGAUUAAGUUUGUUAUUUGUUUUUCUUGCUAGCAACAAUCUUUGUACUAUCUUUCUUCAUCUUGCCAGGUGUUGUGGAGGGUUGCUUUACCAAUCAAGUUGUUCCACUUGGUUCUUUUAUUGGAUGUGGGUUGUUAACUUGCAUGUGGCACUUAAGUGAUAACACUCGAGAUGCGUGCCAAGGAUUAAUGUUAUGUGACUCAUUGGGGAUGGGACUGAGACGGACUCCACCUUAUGGUACUCAAGUGGCGAGGCUGAGAAUGGACACCAUCCUGAAUGUUGGCUCAAGUGGCGGGGCUAAGAGUAGACACCACCUCAAUUUCCUUUGAGAAAUAACAUUAUUGCCUAGGUGGACGUUGAUUCCGAGGAUAGUAUUGGUCCUCUUGUGGCUAGGGUUGUGUUGAGAUCCGUAAUGCUUUUGAAUUGGAGCGUAAUGCCUAAUAUGAUAUAGGGGUGAUACCCGGGUUUAUGCGUUGAGGUUAUCCCUCUUAAACAGGAUUGUAUUAUGCCAAUGUGUCGAUGAGGUUGUGUUGUUUUAAGAGAGAUUGCAUUUUUCCCGGUUAAAGUUAAGUGUUGUGUGAUAUUCUCUUAGGUUAGCACAUGUUGGGAUGUGUCGAUUUUGUUUCAUGGUUUUGUAUAUAUUCAUGAAUAUGUUUUAAAUUCUCGCUUAGAUAAUUCAUCAUCUAAUUUGGACUUUGUCCCAAGAAUAUUCAAAUGUUUCAGGUGAAAGUAGCAACGCUAAGAGAAAGAAUGCUAUCGAGAUGUAGUUAAUAGUUACAUAUUAGAUCUUUUGUAGGUCUUUAUUUAUGUACAAGAUAUUCAGAUAUUAUGUAUUAUUUUGAUGAUGUCAUGUUGAACAUUGAUGGUACGAAUUUUAUAUUAUGAAUAAAGGAAUUUCGGUUAUGUAUC